rnacentral:rRNA from 1 species
AUGGAAAGAAUGGCAAGAUCAUACUUCAAAGAGGUUUUUACUAAAGAUCCAACAUUGGAUCCGAAUGAGGUACUGGAUACUAUCACCCCUAAAGUUUCGGUGGAGAUGAAUGAGGCCUUAUGCAGAGCGUAUAUGGAGGAGGAGAUAUCAAAUGCAUUGUUUCAGAUUGGCCCGUUGAAAGCCCCGGGAUGUGAUGGGUUCCCGGCAAGGUUUUACCAAUGGAACUGGGCCACUUUAAAGGUGGAAAUAGUGGCAGCAGUGCAGGAGUUCUUUUCCAGUGGUGUCAUGCCAGACGGUGUUAAUGACACGAGCAUUGUGCUAAUUCCCAAGGUGCCCCAUCCAAGAGAGCUCAAGGAUUUCAGACCCAUUAGCUUAUGUAAUGUGGUGUAUAAAAUUGUUUCUAAAUGCAUGGUAAACAGGCUUCGGCCGCUUCUGGAUGAGCUUAUUUCAGAAAACCAGAGUGCCUUCAUUCCGGGGAGGCUUAUUUCUGAUAACUCCAUCAUCGCGUUUGAAUGUAUUCAUCACAUCCAGAAUGUCAGAGCUAAUCCCCCACCAUUGUGUGCUUACAAACUGGAUCUGUCUAAGGCCUAUGAUCGUGUUGAUUGGAAUUUUUUGGAGAGGGCUCUGUCCAAAUGGGGUUUCAGUGAUGUCUGGAUAUCCUGGGUGAUGGCGUGUGUUACAUCUGUGAAGUACUCUGUGAAAUUUAAUGGCAAGUUACUGGAGCCUUUCUCCCCCUCGAGAGGGCUUCGCCAAGGUGACCCCUUAUCACCCUUUCUCUUUCUCUUUGUGGCUGAUGCUUUAUCUGCCCUGGUACACAAAUCACUGAGAGAACAGGGCCUACAAGGGGUCAAGAUAUGCAGGACUGCUCCGGUCAUCUCACAUUUGUUGUUUGCAGACGACUCAAUUCUGUUUUUUCAAGCUUCGGAACAGCAAGCUAAUUUGGUUAAGAGUGUGUUGAACAUGUAUUCGACGGCGACUGGACAAUUAAUUAACCCGUCGAAGUUCUCCAUUCUCUUCUCUGAAAACUGUUUGCCAACUGUGGUACAUGAGGUUAAGUCGGUCUUGGAGAUAACCCAGGAAGUUUUUGAGCUAAGUAUUUGGGCCUCCCGGUCCCGGAGGGAAGAUUACAUAAAGGUAACUUUGAAACAAUCCAGGAUCGGUUACGCAAGAAACUUAUUGAUUGGAGUGAGCAAUAUGUGUCAUCUGGGAAUAAGGAGUUUUUGA